ensembl:snRNA U1 U1 spliceosomal RNA
AAAUGUUUUUUGCAGGGGAGAUACCAUGAUCACGAAGGUGGUUUUCCCAGGGCGAGGCUUAUCCAUUGCACUCCGGAUGUGCUGACCCCUGCGAUUUCCCCAAAUGUGGGAAACUCGACUGCAUAAUUUGUGGUAGUGGGGGACUGCGUUCGCGCUCUCCCCUG